rnacentral:rRNA from 1 species
AUACGGAGGAUGCGAGCGUUAUCCGGAUUUAUUGGGUUUAAAGGGUGCGUAGGCGGAUGAUUAAGCGUGAGGUGCAAUGCCACUGCUCAACAGUGGAACUGCCUCGCGAACUGGUUGUCUUGAAUGCUCCUGCCGUGGGCGGAAUGUGUGGUGUAGCGGUGAAAUGCAUAGAGAUCACACAGAACACCGGUUGCGAAGGCAUCUCCCGAAGAGGUGAAUGGCGCUGAGGCACGAAAGCAUGGAGAUCAAACAGGAUUAGAUAACCUGGUAGUCCACGCAGUAAACGAUGAUGACUAACCGUCGGCGAUACACAGUCGGUGGCCAAGCGAAAGCGAUAAGUCAACCACCUGGGGAGUUCGGUCGCAAGAAGGAAACUGAAAUGAAUUGGCGGGG